rfam:Salmo salar isolate Sally breed double haploid chromosome ssa04, whole genome shotgun sequence.
UGGCUCAGUUGGUAGAGCAUGGUGUUUGCAACGCCAGGGUUGUGGGUUCGAUUCCCAA